CCUACGGGAGGCUGCAGUGGGGAAUAUUGGGCAAUGGGCGCAAGCCUGACCCAGCAACGCCGCGUGAAGGAAGAAGGCUCUCGGGUUGUAAACUUCUUUUAUCAGGGACGAAGCAAGUGACGGUACCUGAUGAAUAAGCCACGGCUAACUACGGGCCAGCAGCCGCGGUAAUACGUAGGUGGCAAGCGUUAUUCGGAAUUACUGGGAGUAAAGGGCGGGGAGGCGGGAAAACAAGUCAGACGUGAAAACCCUGGGCUCAACACGUGGCCUGCCUUUGAAACUGUUUUUCGUGAGUACUGGAGAGGCAAGCGGAAUUCCUAGUGUAGCGGUGAAAUGCGGAGAGAUUAGGAGGAACACCAGUGGCGAAGGCGGUCUGCUGGACAGCAACUGACGCUGAGGCGCGAAAGCGUGGGUAGCAAACAGGAUUAGAUACCCAAGUAGUC
rnacentral:rRNA from 1 species